UCUAAUGUGACAGAUAAAUGUGAUAGUUUUAAGUUCUAUCGAUAGCUACGCUCUUUAGAA
rnacentral:tRNA from 1 species